AGCUUCGCUGCGAGACUGACUGGCAACCUCAGCCCUGACGCCCGCGAGGAGGAGGACAAAACCCGCAAGCGAAUGUUCGUGCUGCAAUACGUUCAACCGGGUCUUGCCGGAUUGAUGGACGGCUCGGUGUCGACGCUUGCGCCGCUCUUCGCCGCGGCAUUCGCGACGCACAAUAACUGGCAGACAUUCCUGGUCGGUCUCGCGGCCUCGAUCGGCGCUGGCAUCAGC
rnacentral:misc_RNA from 1 species